GUGGCUGGCAGGGUGACCCACUAUGCGUCUCACCUCCGCCACGAGACGUCUGUGGACGCGACGCUUGGCUGCUACCAGCAGACUGAUGUCUCAGUGGUGUACGCCACUCUCCACAUGGGGCUGGACGGGCUUCUCUCCUCUUCAGCGUGGUCGGAGGCUGCCUCCUUCUCUACUCCCACCACUCAGCAGUUCAGUGACCCAGAGCCUGAGGGCCACAACUGCUAUGAGGUCAGACGUUACACACACAUACUAUUGACUAGGAGCAUUAAGAUCCUUCCAUUGACCGAUUGUUUGUUAUGUCAUUGCACUGGUCACUGAUUUUGAAUGCUUGUUUUGUUGUCGUAGGGCUGGGAGGAGGACCUGCUGCCUGAGGAGAGGGAGGUUCCUCUGCUAAAGUGAGUUCCUCUAAAUGUCUGUGUAGUCUGAGCUUGUCAAAUGCUGAAGGAUAGUGGUCAUAAUGUUGUUAUCCCCCAUUGACUCUAAUGGUUGACAUGCUUCAUUCCCUCCCUUUCACAGCCUCUACCUUACCACCAAGAGAGUGGAGGACAUCGUCCUGAGGCUCGUCUCCUUGCGCCAGGCCUUCACUGUGAGUGGACCCACUGUUCUUUUUGUCUCUGUGACUUCUUGUUCUGUCUCCAAGAGGAAGAGGUCUCACCCUAACUCUUCCCUCUUCCCUAGACCCUGCUUGGUUCCACCCUGAGCAGGAACCAUCUGUUUGUGGCAGGAAAGGCCCUCCUGGGCGGCCUUGUUCAGGCCAACCACAUGGUAACUCACUAACUCAUUCUCUUUCAAGGGAAAGAGAGCGUCCCUGAGGGGAAAUGUGUUCUGUUCACUAAGAUGCUCUUUUCUUUGUCAUAGGACGAGGCCAAAUUCAUCCGUACCUAUAACGACUUUGUGGACUACCUGAGUGACCCCUCCAAGCGGAAUGACAUUGAGAGGGAGCUGGCUGAGGCAAAGGUGAGUUCAUUAACUCUUUCAAGUCUCACUGAGUUCUUCCACAUGCAUGUCUUUUAUACAUCACAGUAGCUGAUCUAUAUGAAAUCAUUCCUAUUUUCUACAAAUGUGUUUUCUUGUCCUAGAUCCAUCAUGUGAACAUGAUAGAUGUCCUCUUUGAGCUGGUGCUGUUUGGGAUGAUGACAGCUCAGAAGUCCCUGAUGGUGGUAAGUAGCAUCUCACUGGAACAUGUUUUGAUAUUGCUCUAUUAGCAGUUUCACUUAAAUUCCUCAUCUCUUCUAUUCUCUUUUCUCCUCCUUUGUUUCUUUUAGCACCCUGGUGGGUUCGUGGAGCGUCUGUACGCUCUCCUGUCCUCCUUCCUGCCCACUGCUGCCAACAUGGAGCCAGAGGCUGAUAGAAUCCUACUGCUGCUCAAUGUAAGAGUCAAGAGGUUACUUCCUGUUUACUUCCAUAUUCUUAGUGUACUUCCUUUUGACUUCCUUAUUCAUGGUUAACCAGCUUUCAGUAUUUCUAAUUGUCUCUCUCCUCUUGAUAAGCUAGUAACUCAGAGCCAUUUUCUAUGUGUUGUGUGGUGUUCUCUUCAGGGCGGACUGAUGGCUCUGCUAGAUGACAUGUUUGGCCAGCAGCUGGCCUGGUAUUUUAACUCCGAGUCUCUGGUCACUGAGCUCUCCAUCCUCCUGGAGUACCACUUGGAGAACCUCAUGGCCAGCAUGUAGUCCUACUGCAGGGACCAUACUCCUUUCUCCUUCUCUCUCUCUUAUGAAGGAAUUGAGGACUUGAAGUGCUUUGUUGAACCCUGAUUAGUUAACACCCAUUAAUUUAAUGUAUUCUCUUGUUUUCUCUCCCCACAGGAUUAUUGUGACACUUUGCCACCCAACAGGGAUCUAGACACCAAUGCACUACAUUACUUUGCACUGAAUUUGAC
rnacentral:lncRNA from 1 species